GUCGAGCGUGGCUGCAUUCUCUCGCAAGAGAGGAUGUAGUCUAGCGGCGAACGGGUGAGUAACACGUGGGAAACUUGCCCUCCAGACGGGGACAACCUCGGGAAACCGGGGCUAAUACCGGAUUCGCCCACUGGGUCGCAUGGCCCGGUGAGGAAAGGAUCGCAAGAUCGCUGGAGGAGAGUCCCGCGGCCUAUCAGCUUGUUGGCGGGGUAACGGCCCACCAAGGCUAUGACGGGUAGCUGGCCUGAGAGGGCGGUCAGCCACACUGGAACUGAGAGACGGUCCAGACUCCUACGGGAGGCAGCAGUUGGGAAUUUUGGGCAAUGGGCGAAAGCCUGACCCAGCGACGCCGCGUGGGGGAUGAAGGCCUUCGGGUUGUAAACCCCUGUCAGGAGGGAAGAAGCCGAAAGGUGACGGUACCUCCAGAGGAAGCCCCGGCUAACUACGUGCCAGCAGCCGCGGUAAGACGUAGGGGGCGAGCGUUGUCCGGAAUCACUGGGCGUAAAGCGCGUGCAGGCGGCUUGGUAAGUCCCGUGUGAAAGCCCACGGCUCAACUGUGGGAGGCCGCGGGAUACUGCCGGGCUUGAGGGCAGGAGAGGGAAGUAGAAUUCCCGGUGUAGCGGUGAAAUGCGUAGAUAUCGGGAGGAAUGCCAGUGGCGA
rnacentral:rRNA from 1 species